rnacentral:miRNA from 1 species
UUUGUAUUACGCGCGAAAAUUGUUACCAUUUUCGGCUCAGAAAUGGUAACAAUUUCCGCACGUAAUACAAA